CAAUGAAAGUGCUGGUUCUCAUUCGAUCACCAAAGUUAAGCAACAUUGAGCCUAAUCAGUACUUAGAUGGGAGACCAGAAAUACUAGGUACUGUAA